rnacentral:rRNA from 1 species
AUUGAACGCUGGCGGCAGGCCUAACACAUGCAAGUCGAGCGGAUGAGUGGAGCUUGCUCCAUGAUUCAGCGGCGGACGGGUGAGUAAUGCCUAGGAAUCUGCCUGGUAGUGGGGGACAACGUUUCGAAAGGAACGCUAAUACCGCAUACGUCCUACGGGAGAAAGUGGGGGAUCUUCGGACCUCACGCUAUCAGAUGAGCCUAGGUCGGAUUAGCUAGUUGGUGAGGUAAGGGCUCACCAAGGCGACGAUCCGUAACUGGUCUGAGAGGAUGAUCAGUCACACUGGAACUGAGACACGGUCCAGACUCCUACGGGAGGCAGCAGUGGGGAAUAUUGGACAAUGGGCGAAAGCCUGAUCCAGCCAUGCCGCGUGUGUGAAGAAGGUCUUCGGAUUGUAAAGCACUUUAAGUUGGGAGGAAGGGCAGUAAGUUAAUACCUUGCUGUUUUGACGUUACCAACAGAAUAAGCACCGGCUAACUACGUGCCAGCAGCCGCGGUAAUAC